rnacentral:sRNA from 1 species
UAUCUCUCCGUACGGGGAAGGAUGAGAAGCUUCGACUAAGGUUCGAUUCGAGCGCAGCGAGAAAGCGUUGCCGUAGGCAACGACCCGAAGGGCGAAGCGCGCAGCGC